CGGAGGCACCGACUUUUUUCCACAGUUCCAGUGGAGGUGUUCUUCAUAGACUACCGGUAUUUUUCAAGGCAGCCUGGGAGAUGAUGAAUCUGGGGAUUGCCCCCACCUUCAACAUGAUACGUUCCUCCUGUAGCACUUACGCCAAGCGACAGUUGGGACGUAAAUCUUACUACAGAGUGGCAACGUUUAUGUGCCAUGAUGCCGUCACAGCCAAAAGAUUUUACCAAGCUGAGGAACCUGCAGAGGACACACUCCAGAGCCGAGCACUGACAACAAAUGCAAUUGCAACAUAUGCAGCAAAUAAAAGGAAAAGGAGAGCGGACAGAGGGUCUAUGCAGGACAAGGACAGUCAUGGAUGUGACAAGGAAGAGCAGCAGUCAUCAGUAACAGAGGAGCUUUUAGACAGAAGGCUCUUCCAGUGUAGCAGUAACAAGAUGGUGAGCCCAGGUCAGGGUGAGGGUGCCGGUAGUGCUGGAGCCACAAUAAGAGAAACUAAACGGGAUUUGAAAGAGGAGGUGGAGCAGCUACAAAAUAUGACAUGCCAGUUGCGCAAGAGAAAAAUGGUCAUCUUUUACAAAAAUGAUAGGACAGGUGUGAGGAAACUCACACAAGAAGACAAUCCAGAAGAGGACGAGGAGGAGGAUGAAGCGAGAGAAUGGGUUCCUAAGCAGUCUGUGAGCUCAUCUGAAGAUGAUGGGACAGAUGACUGGAAACCCACACAGGAAGAAUCUGAAGGCUAUUCAGAAGAGGAGGAAGAACAAAAACGGAAAAGGGUUCCUAAGGACAGGGAAACGGCGAUGAGCUCAUUACCAGUACAACACCAAAUUCCAGUUGUUACUCUGAAUUCAGUCACUCUCAAGAUGGACAAGGUCACAGUGGAGGUCCCUCCUGGUAUGCAGCAGGCCUAUGUAAGCCAAGACACAGCAAGGACUGUGAAUAAGAGUUCAGAAAAAAGUGUGAUUCACCAAACCAGUUGCCUGAAGAGGCUCACUUUUCAUCAGUCAACUCUCUUUGAAGACCCCAUACCAAGAUCUGGUAACAACAAGAAAGACCAAAGUGGAAUCCCAUCUGCACCAAUAAUCACCUCAGAACAAGUGAAAGAGAAAGAGGUGCAAGAAGAGCCUCUGGAGAAGAUAAAGAGUGGAGCCAAAGGAGAAAAGAGAAAAGAAAAGUUACAAAAGGAGCCUCUGGAGAAGAGGAGGAGUGAAAGGAAAGGAAGGAAGAGAAAGGAAAAAGUACAGCUUGAGCCCCUGGAGAAGAUGGGGAGCAAAAGGCAAAGGAGGGAAGAAAAGAUACAAGCAGAGCCUCUGAAGAAGAUGAAGAGUGAAGCCAAAGGAGGAAAGAGAAAAGAAAAGGUACAGCAGGAGCCUCUGGAGAAGCUGAGGAGCAAAAGGCAAAGGAGGGAAGAAAAGAUACAGGCAGAGCCUCUGGAGAAGAUGAGGAGUGAAGGGGGGAAAAGGACUCUGAAAAUAAGGUGC
ensembl:lncRNA